AUCAUAAAGCAAACAUGACUUUAAUAGCUAUCAUUAUUUGGAUGCUUGCAACCUGCACUUUGAGUUCUGUGGGGCAGAUUCUGACUCAGUCUGAAGAUCAAACAGUGAAGCCUGAUCAGACUGUCACUAUUCACUGUAAGCACACACCAGCUAUAAACUGUGUUAAAUCAAAGAGCUCUCAGAAUUGCAUCGCCUGGUACCAUCAGAUUCCUGGAGAAGUUCCUAAACUCCUGAUCUAUUACACAACAGACAGAGCUUCAGGUGUUUCUUCUAGAUUCAGUGGAAGUGGAAGUGGAAACAAAAUUGAUUUUACUCUGACUAUCAGCGGGGUCCAGCCUGAAGAUUCAGGAGUUUAUUACUGUCAGAGUGAACAUGACAAGGGAGUUUCUGGCACCAUAGACUGGGUGUUCACACAGUGUAAAAGCAUCGUACAAAAACCUCCUCUGGUGAGACAGCAGCGCUGCAGCUUUGAGCUUCUGUAG